GCGGAUUAGAAGUUUCCAGCCAGUUACAGUUCUGUGGGAAAGAGCUGUGCAUCAUGGAUCAAGGGAGAGACACCUUUCUGGCUUCAUUCCUGACACGUUGGUGGCCCAUCUACUGCGUCAGAGGCAGCAGCCGCUCCAAAUGGAUGAGUUGGUCUGGUGAGAAAAAGAGAGCUGGAUGCUGAAAGGGGAGUGAGACCAAUGGGCACUGUCAGUGGGAAGAGGAAGCUGAGAAAAAGGCCCCCAAAGAGCAGUGCUGCUGCCAGGAGGGCAGGAAGCCUGGGAAAAGAAUGCCUUUGAUGAUGUUUAUAAGCCAAGACUGCCAACACCAGCUUUCAAGAGGCUCUGUCCCUGUCCUGAGACCUGGCCUGAGCUCACCAUGAAUUCAGCAGCCAAGGAGAAGGAUGUUUGGACUGAAAAGAACAUAAACACUGAACAGGAAGUUGGACCCCAAUAAAAGCGAGGAGCUGUUAAGGGAGCCCCAGCUGCACUCAGGGAAUUCAAGUCACCGAUCCAGGCCAAAUGCAAUCCCUGGGCUGCGAAGCGAUUGGCAAAGGGGACUGCGAAGCCACUGCUGUUGAUCUCUGAAAGACAGUGGAGACCAGGACCACUUCAAUGUCCCUCACUCUUCAGAAAGAACAACGGAGCAGAGUGGUCAACCCAUAGGCUAGUGAGCUCGACUCUGAUUCUUGGCAAAGUCCAAGGAUGUCUUUGAGGAGGUGGUGAAAGAACUUUCAGAAAAGGGAGAAGUGAUGACAAAAAGCCAAGAUGGCCUCGCCAAGAACAGUUCCUGCCAAACGAACCUACUUUUCUUUGACUAAACUGGUGAAUCAGAGAAGAAGCAGCACAGUGUGGUAGAAAUAGGAUGGGAUUUGUACUCCGUAGACCUGGAUUUGAAUCCCAGCUCUGCAACUUAUUACC